UGAUAAAACAAGUUGUGUGAUAACUUAUAUACAAUUAUUCUAACACUGUGUGUAUAAUCACUUCCUGUCCUGGUGCUCUUGUUUUGUCAGUGUUUCCUGUUUAGUUUCUGUGUUUUGCAGAACCUUUACUUUCUGUUCCAUGUCUUGUCAGCACACCCAUUCAUCCCUUAAUUAGUUCCUCCUGGAUCCCUACAUCAGAUCUGGAUCAUUCUUCUGCUUGAGACUGAUGGUUUGUGUGCUGUUUUGGUUCCAUGCUUCCUUGUGAGUAAUAAACUGUUUUUUUUUUUGUUUUUUUUCUUGCACUCUGCCUGCCAUUCUCUGCAUCCUUGGGGUCAUGCUGCAAGCAACGCUCACCACACCGUGACAUAGUUAAUGGUAAUGGACUGUUAUUGUGUCCAUGUGUACACUCUCAGUUACAAUAUUAUUGAUAUUAUACAUGUGGGAACAUAAAUAGAAAAGCCAUUUGAUGUAGCAAGCUACUUUUGCCGUAUAGCUUGGAGUCUAGCUUGCUACAAUUCCCCAGGGAUAGCUUCCCCUGUAGCUUAGCUACAUUUAAUCGAGAGUAACGUGUAGCUUAGCUUACUGCAUUUUCCAAGUAGCUUGCCCAUCACUGUGUGUGUGUGUGUGUGUGUGUGUGUGUGUGUGUGUGUGUGUGUGUGUGUGUGUGUGUGUGUGUGUGUGUGUGUGUGUGUGAGUGUGUGUUCUGGCAAUGCUUACUUAUUGGGGACGUCACUCUGUUUUCAAAGUUACCGUGUCCAGGCCAUGUGCACAUAUACUGGGCCUGUGCCUUCAAGUGUGUCCAAACAACUGUGGGGAGUAAUACGUGUCAUGAUUCCUGAUCCAAUCACAGAAAUAAUAAAAGAUGACCAUGUCAUCACAGAUGUUGGGCAGCACCUUUUAAACAAAAGUUGUAUGUCAGCAAAAAAUCAACAAUGUGUCAGAGAAAAGAUGAGGUAAUUAGGAAGACUGAUUCAUAAUGCCAGGAGAGUAACUACCUUGAAAAAAAUGGAGGAUUUUGUGACUCUUAAGAACUACUUGGAGAUGGUCAAAGCUGUCAAAUGUACUUGUGGCUAUGAUAGUGACACUAACAAAUUCUGCAUUCCAUCACUGGCAACUAAACUUGGGAAUUCCCUGGUUAAAGUCAGCAAACUCUUGAAAGCACAAGGUUUGAUAAACAACAAUGAAGAGUUGGUAAGGAAUGCCACUCAGUUCCAAGAUGUCCAUCGUGAGAAGUGGAACAGGUUCAUCUCUGCAACAGCCCUGAGGAACAUAGCCGAAGAAAAGUGGAAUGUACCACAACUUAUGCCCUUCACUGAGGAUGUUCAAAAAAUGCAUCAGUUUCUCAGUCAAAUGCAUGAUGAGUGCAGCAGUGCGCUAACUGAAAAUUAUUCCGCAAAGUCCUGGUCAGACCUGACAAAAGUAUGUUUGACACAGAUCCACGCUUUCAACUAUGCUAAACAUGACAGACACAGAGUGGACCAGCUGGCCAACUUUCUUGGCCAUGAUAUUAGAAUCCAUCACAAGUUCUAUAGAUUCCCUGAAAAGACACUGCAGCUGGCAAAAAUCAGCAAAGUUUUGAUGGCACUCGAGCAAGGUCGACUAUCAGAGUUCCAUGGAAAGAACUUAGAUGAAAUUACAAUUGCUCCAAAUGGUAAGUUGUUAUCUUUGUUGUUUCCUUUGUCUGCAAUUUUUUUUCCAUCCUUUUUUUUGGGUUUGAACUCAUUUAUAAGCUUAACAUGUUAUGUGUACCACAUAAUGUGUUUUGGAAACUGAAGAGGAAGAUCUUACCAGAGAGGAUGAACACUAUUAAUUCCCUGACAAUGGUAUGUAAAGUCAAUACUCAUAUUUGUGGUUUAUUAAAUGUGGCCUAUGGUAAGCAUGACACUGAAUGUUUAUUACAUUGAACACAAAGAAGAGGUGAUCUUUCCAACCACUGAGUAUGAACAAAUCCCGCCCCCCAACAGACUGACACAACUUUCAAUAGAAAGUGAUGGAUCAUCAGGACAUUCUUCCAAUGAAAGUGUUGUGCAAACUGAAGAGGAAUAUCUUACCAGAGAGGACAAACACUAUUCAUUCCCUGAUAAUGAAGAUGUAGCCUUUCCAACCACUGACACAACUUUCAAAAAAAAAGGAUGGAUCUUCAGGACAUUGUGCAGUGACACAUUCUUCCAAAGGUAAAGCUGCCCAGAAAAGGCGACCCUGGACACAGAAAGAGGUGAAGGCUGUCGAGAAGCACAUGAAGCGAUUCAUCCCUUCUGGUAUUGUACCAGCAAAGAGUGACUGUUUAAAAUGUUUGAGGGCCGAACUGGAAGCUCUCCAAAACCGGGAAUGGCAAGCAUUGAAGUUCUAUGUGUACAACCGCAUUACGGCCUACAAAAGGAGAUUUCAGAUAACAUAGUAGA